rnacentral:rRNA from 1 species
GUGUCAGCAGCCGCGGUAAUACGUAGGGUGCGAGCGUUAAUCGGAAUUACUGGGCGUAAAGCGUGCGCAGGCGGUUCUGAAAGUCAGCUGUGAAAGCCCCGGGCUUAACCUGGGAAUUGCGGUUGAAACUACAGGGCUAGAAUCUGGCAGAGGGGGGUGGAAUUCCACGUGUAGCAGUGAAAUGCGUAGAGAUGUGGAGGAACACCGAUGGCGAAGGCAGCCCCCUGGGCUGAGAUUGACGCUCAGGCACGAAAGCGUGGGGAGCAAACAGGAUUAGAUACCCUGGUAGUCCACGCCCUAAACGAUGUCAACUAGGUGUUGGGAGCGCAAGUUCUCAGUACCGCAGCUAACGCGUGAAGUUGACCGCCUGGGGAGUACGGUCGCAAGAUUAAA